rnacentral:lncRNA from 1 species
GUAAGUAAAAAUAACAUAGGUAGUGUUAUUUUAGCGUCCUAUUCCUAACCCUGAGCCUUCCACCCAUCGCGCUUUGGCCCCCCCUCGCCUUCCCGCGCCAUUGGCUGCCUCGAGACGGCGUUAAUUACUGGCAGUGUGUUAAUUGCAUAGAUCGCACCGAGGGACAUGGGAGGAGGGGAUGUGAUUUGAGUUAAUCACGAAGCCACUCGAUUUUUUGAAUGUCUUUUAAGCUGGCAUUCUGAGGGGCAGCUGUGGUCUUCCUCAUUCUCAUGCAGUGUUCGUUGUGCCCUUCUUUGCGAUGAGGCUGCAAAUGGCGCCGUUCAGCCAUUUUGUGAAUUCAGAACCGCUUGCGAAGAGGAAUUUAUUUUACCUGACUUAUUUCGGCGACAUUAAUUCAAUCAAUUGAGGGUGUUUUAAUUAGGAGUGCAUAUUAAUGACUUAACACGGUGGGUCUAUUUGCAUAUGGGGCAUGCAAGCGUUCUAUAUUCAUGGGGCAUGUAGAUGAGGAUGGUUAGAUCAUGUGAAAGAUAACCUGCUAUACACACCUAUACACAUAAUUUUAUCAACACAAACCCCUGUGUAGAGACACACACACACACACACACACACACACACACACACACACACACACACACACACACACACACACACACACACACACACACACACACACACACACACUGUCUACAAUACCCUCACACAGAAUAUUAACUCCAAAAUCUUGAGCACAUGCCUUAAUACACUCAGAAAUAUACAUACAACUAUAUUUUGAACACAGAGUUAUUGGACAUUUGAUCCACUGACAGUUGAUGCAUGGACAGUUCUUAUUUCAACUGAACUUCAAUCAAUGUGCUAUUGAAAAAAAAAAAAAAGAUUUCGGGAAAAGUACAGUAACACCCCUUUCACUAGCAAGUAUUUCAUGUUGUCAGGUGACAGAAUUGGUUUAAUCCCGAGAAUAACUACAAUAUGAGUUUAGAGGAAACCGGUCGAAGCGGGAAAUAAAGUCACACACACUGACGAGAUGUUUUCCAACGUCUGGUAAGACAAUUAACACUUCUAGUAGUGUUGAUCACUCUGUCCAAGUCCAUGGAAACUCAAGGGGCCAACUUGGGAGGAGAGAAGUGGAGCACACAGAAAGAGAAAUGAGCAAGAGGGGGCUCCGUAAGAGAGCAGAGUGAAUGAGAGAGGGGAGAGAGAGAGAGAGAGAGGGAAAGAGAGAAGGAAAGAGGAAGGAAGGGGAGACCGAUGAGGAGAGAGGGGAGACAGUGAAGUCUCAAUAGUGAGUGGCUUUCUUUGUGUUUCCGUGUGAGGUUUAUUUUGGGAGAGGGGGGGUGGGGCGGUUCAGCCUUGCUCAGCGCAGCCAACAAGCAGAGCAUUGUCCUCCGUUGGUGCGGCGGCACUUGUGGCAUAACGCCAUUAUUUAGGCCAGUGGAGGGAUAGGGGUCUGGAGACCGGCUUAACCAAAACGCCAAUUAGACCCGGCUCGCCCUGAUUAAUGGAAGGGGAGGAUUGGCAAACAAUGCCGCCCAUUGUCAUGGUAACCCCCCCCCCACCACCUUUGUUUGCCAUAGGAGUGCUUAGAAGCCAUAGAUUAACAUGGUGCUCUUGUGUAGCCAGUUCUUCACCCUCUCCUCGUCACAUGAAUCUCUAGUUUAGGAACUGGAGUUGAAGAACUGAAGUUGAGGAACAGAGUUUUCCCUUGCUGUCAAGUUGGCUUUCAAGUAGACUAGACACACACACACACACACACACACACACACACACACACACACACACACACACACACACACACACACACACACACACACACACACACACACACACACACACACACACACACACACACACACACACACGUCAUAUUAUCCCUUCAUAAUGCUAAAUAUCAACAUUCUGAUUUGUUUGAAUACAAACAAGAUAGAAUCAAAGAAAUACAAUUAAAGUUGGACUUGUAAUAAGAAUGAUAUUUUUAUUGUAUUAAUAUGUUACAACGUUAAUGUUACAUUAUAAAUCCUUUUUAAAUAUUUGGAUGACGAAGUAAGAGAAUUAGGUCGUCCAACUGAAACAGUAUUCCCUGAAAUGUUUUGUUGGCGUUUCAGCUUAGUGUUAAUCACAGCCUGUCUAAUACUGGGGUCCACAUUUCCAUACGUCCUACUUUAUUGUUUAUUUAAAGCGUAUGCACUGAAUAAUUAGCUCGCCGUGUACUCCAAUCAGGGGCAUGCAAAUGUUAGUUGCCAUGGCGACCUCAUCAGGGCCCCCCGCCAGCCGCAAACAGGACAUAGACAAAUAAAGCGUGGGAAAACACUAAGGGGCUCAGACAAUGACAGUGGUGUGGCGAUGGAGACUGAGAAUGUGUUGGGAAUGGAUGAGGAUGGGAGGGAGGUGGAGGGGGGAAGUAACUGGGUGUGUGUCUGUUGGUAUGGGGUGGGGUGGGGUGGUGCAGCUUGUGUCUGGACUGUAGUUACUAGACAUGUGUGUCUCAAUGGGGGGGGGGGUAAAGGCAUAUUGCAGACCUGUCUAGCUAGGUCUGUGUGUGUGAGGAUGGGUGUCCAGCUGAGGACAAGUGUAUCAAGUCAGAAUAUUAAAUAUAUCUCAACAUAAAUGGCAGCUGUACUAUAUGACAUAUUUAAUGUUAAGACACAUGCAUAGAGAUGUAUAUACCACUUCAGAGAAUCCUAUAGCUAUCUAUAUCUAAUAUUGCCACAGGGCUUGGGAUGAGUAAUGUAUUUUAAUGUAUUUUAGGUUUUUUUGUCAUCUCCAAAUCCUCCUGGUGUUUGAGUCUCUUCACAUGACCCAUUUCUAAGGUGACCCAUCACAUUGAAGUUAUGUCACAGCCAGUCCACCACCUUCCGACGGCCACCCCACCUCACCAAUGGUGAGGUCCAUUUCCGAACGUAGUGGUGCCCACCUGACCUAAAUGGAACCGGAUUGGCUCCUCUUCCAUUUUUCUCUGCCCCAGUAUUUAAACCUGAAGCCCUUUGUGGACGUUGAACGAUCUCCUUUUGGUUGGGGUGAACUUUAGGCACAUGCCUGGACAUGCCUGACAAACUGAAAAUGGGGUAAUGUACUGUUGGGUCAUGGAUACCAGUGGAUACCCAACCACAGCUGCCUCUGUGGGCUUCAUCCCCAGACCGUCUUUGGAUACACCAAUCAAAGGACAAGUUGAAAUGGACCACUGUGAACUAGUGUGUCUCUGUCCUCCUACAACUAACUGACUGGAUACAUGGACAGAAAUGGAGGGUGUGAGAUGUGUGUGUUCUGUGUUGUGAUGGUACACUGUCUUCUCUGAGACGACUCUACACACAGCUGUGUCCGUCACAUCUGCAAUACAUUCGACACGGGUCAGCAUGCUGAUCUGUUCAUGUGUGCUGUGCUUGUUUGUGUAUAUGUGCUUGUUUGUCUAAGCGCAUACACUUUGAGUCACCCUCACUCAGAGCAAGUUCUGUUCUGGGAUUGUAAGCAACACACGCACACACAUCACAAAUCAUAGUAAAUGUCUUUUAACCUCCUUAUGGUUAACGGACAUAGGAUUUAUCAUGUGCUUAUGCUACCUGGCAAAAAUAAUAUUUGCAACUGGAGGAGGUUGUAUGGUUUAGUAGUAGAAUCGCACUGCAGCACUGAUUUUAUUAUCAAGGGGAGGAUACAACUGGUAAAUAAGUAUCUUAUAUUGGACAGCCCACAUAGUAUUCAGAUCAUUUAUGUAUAGAUAGAACACGUACAAUUAAUUAAAAUAAAACAUAGAAAUGUGCUAAUUGAGUGAUUUAAACAAUUGUAGUAUAGAAAUCAGAGUAGGACGAUAAUUUAUGUGUUAUUUAGUUUACAUAAUGGAUAUGAAUACUAGUUUAGUUAGAAUUUCUCAAAUUAUUUUCAAAAUGUGAAAAUGUGUGUAUUUUUUGUUGUUGUGUAUAUUAUUUCUAUGCAUCUUUUGAAACCUAUGCAAAUGAAUCCACAAAGUAGAUAUUUUAGAAUUUGCUAAUGACGAUCAUUCAAUUUCUCAGAGGGUUUAGAUUUUUCCCCAGACAAUCUGUUGUAUACUGUAGGGUGAUGUGAGAGAUUAGAAAUGAAAGUGCAAUACAGGAACGUUUCUGAGCCCUGCUCCAGACAGCAAAAUAUGUUGGGAUUUUACAGCGUUUUUCUCAACUGAUUUGGAUUUUUAGAUAUUUUUUAGAAGUGUAUCAAUAUCAAAAUAUAAACAUUGGAAUGUUUAAUUUGCUUAACUGUCUGAGUCUUAAAUUAACGGAUUGACUAGAAAGUUGCAUAUACAGUUUUCCAAACAAUUAUUUUGGGAUUUCAUGUGAACAUUUUUACUCUAUGCAACUUUUAUACUUUGUAACUUUUUGUAAUAAAUAAUAUGACUAUCAUUCGGAGCAACUGCAAUUCAUAUUUGUUUCACUGUUUAAGACUUCAUUUGAGAAACUAUGCAAUGGCUGUAUACUAAAUGUGUUUGAUAGUGUGAUGUACUGUACGGUUUUACAACAAUGUGUACUCUACAUGAACAACAAAUGUGUACUCUUUGAGCAUAGUAUGUAAUAGCCUGUAAAUAUACUGUACGUUAUCAAGACCGCACUAUAUGUAGUUGGUUAUGGGCAAUUUGUUGUGGGGAAUGUGCAAUCAGAGUGCAUGUGUGCACUACAUGAGUUUAAACUGUAAACAGUCAGGGUGAAGUGUGUGUAGAAUGAUGCAUCAUGUAGAAAGCAAGAGUACAAUAGAUGGAAUGUGUGCAAUGUGUGUGGAGGCAUGCACUACGCUGAGGGUGAGUGCAAUGUUUUAAUGACAAUGUUGGAUUUUAAAGAGAUGUUUGCAUGAGUGCACUAUGGCCCACAAGAUCAUAGACUAUGUUAGGCAUGUUUGCAAAUGACCUGUGAAUCCUGACUGUAGGGGACUGACUCGUUCUUGUACCAUGGACUCUGUACGAUUAAGUCAACACAAUAAAUGUUUACAUUUAAAAAAAAUAAAAACACAUGUCUGUCUG